rnacentral:rRNA from 1 species
GACGGGGGAUGCAAGCGUUAUCCGGAAUCACUGGGCGUAAAGCGUCUGUAGGUGGUGAUGCAAGUCACUGGUGCAAAACUCUGGCUCAACCGGAGGAAAGCCAGUGAAACUGCAUGACUAGAGUGUGGGAGAGGUAGAAGGAAUUCCCUGAGUAGCGGUGAAAUGCGUAGAUACAGGGAAGAACACCGGAGGCGAAAGCGUUCUACUGGAACACAACUGACACUGAGAGACGAAAGCUAGGGGAGCGAAUGGG